CGACCAGGAGAGAUUCCAAACCCUAGAAUCUCAAUAAACUUGCAACUUGAAGGAUUAAUCCAAGUAAAAAUCAAGAAUUGAGCCUAAAAUCAUAAUCCUCAUCACAAGAGGAUUGUAAGGACAAGAUACCGGGACGUCGAGCGGACAAGCCGGUGGUGAUUCUCGUUUGAAGGGCGUGCGCCAAGGACAAGAUACCGGGACGUCGAGCGGACAAGCUGGUGGUGAUUCUCGUUUGAAGGGCGUGCGCCAAGGUAAUUAGGUGGGUCACAAGGAUGGCGAUCAAGUGAUUUUGAAGAUGAACCGAACACUCCACUUCGAAGCUUCCGCUAUGUUUGAA